CUGGAAAGGCGCGCGAUACAGGGUGACAGCCCCGUACACAAAAAUGCACAUAUUGUGAGCUCGAUGAGUAGGGCGGGACACGUGGUAUCCUGUCUGAAUAUGGGGGGCCCAUCCUCCAAGGCUAAAUACUCCUGACUGACCGAUAGUGAACCAGUACCGUGAGGGAAAGGCGAAAAGAACCCCGGCGAGGGGAGUGAAAAAGAACCUGAAACCGUGUACGUACAAGCAGUGGGAGCACGCUUAGGCGUGUGACUGCGUACCUUUUGUAUAAUGGGUCAGCGACUUAUAUUCUGUAGCAAGGUUAACCGAAUAGGGGAGCCGAAGGGAAACCGAGUCUUAACUGGGCGUUAAGUUGCAGGGUAUAGACCCGAAACCCGGUGAUCUAGCCAUGGGCAGGUUGAAGGUUGGGUAACACUAACUGGAGGACCGAACCGACUAAUGUUGAAAAAUUAGCGGAUGACUUGUGGCUGGGGGUGAAAGGCCAAUCAAACCGGGAGAUAGCUGGUUCUCCCCGAAAGCUAUUUAGGUAGCGCCUCGUGAAUUCAUCUCCGGGGGUAGAGCACUGUUUCGGCA
rnacentral:rRNA from 1 species